UUAUAAUAAAAAAUGCUGAGUCAUCUCUUCAAUACAGACAACUUUAAUCAGAGCUUUACAGAGCAACUAGACAGGAAGUGAAAAGACAACCAUAAGAUCCAUUGUAAUUAUUGACAAUGGUCUUUUAUGACAAAUGAGUAGUAGAACGUUCAGAGGAAAAAAAGAGAACAGGAUCAGUAAGGAAACGACUGCAAGAGUGUAAUAAAACAUCUCAAUGUAACAAUAUUACAAUAAGAAGUGAUGGUGAUAUAUACAUCUCAAUGUAACAAUAUUACAAUAAGAAGUGAUGGUGAUAUAUACAUCUCAAUGUAACAAUAUUACAAUAAGAAGUGAUGGUGAUAUAUACAUCUCAAUGUAACAAUAUUACAAUAAGAAAAGUGAUGGUGAUAUAUACAUCUCAAUGUAACAAUAUUACAAUAAGAAGUGAUGGUGAUAUAUACAUCUCAAUGUAACAAUAUUACAAUAAGAAGUAUGAUGGUGAUAUAUACAUCUCAAUGUAACAAUAAUACAAUAAGAAGUGAUGGUGAUAUAUACAUCUCAAUGUAACAAUAUUACAAUAAGAAAAGUGAUGGUGAUAUAUACAUCUCAAUGUAACAAUAUUACAAUAAGAAGUAUGAUGGUGAUAUAUACAUCUCAAUGUAACAAUAUUACAAUAAGAAAAGUGAUGGUGAUAUAUACAUCUCAAUGUAACAAUAUUACAAUAAGAAGUAUGAUGGUGAUAUAUACAUCUCAAUGUAACAAUAUUACAAUAAGAAGUGAUGGUGAUAUAUACAUCUCAAUGUAACAAUAUUACAAUAAGAAGUGAUG